rnacentral:rRNA from 1 species
GCUCGUAGUUGGAUUUUGGAAUCAGAGGAGCUCGGUCCGCCAGGAAUGGUGUGUACUGGUUUCUCGGUUCUCCCUACUGGAUACUCGCUACUGCACUUUAUUGGGUGGUAGUUUCAUUGCCGCAAGGUGGCGGAUGCAGGNAGGGUCUGGAGGGUAUGGAUGUGGACGUGUUACGCUUCGGUGUGGNGCGUUCUGCCUAUUCGACUUCCUUUCUGUAGGGUUCCAGUUCGUUUACUUUGAGUAAAUUAGAGUGUUCAAAGCAGGCAUACGCCUUGAAUACUAUUAGCAUGGGAUAAUGGAACAGGACGUUGGUUCUAUUUUGUUGGUUUCUAGAACUAAUGUAAUGAUUAAAAGGGAUAGUUGGGGGCAUUAGUAUUUAAUUGUCAGAGGUGAAAUUCUUGGAUUUAUGAAAGACUAACUUCUGCGAAAGCAUUUGUCAAGGAUGUUUUCAUUAAUCAAGAACGAAAGUUAGGGGAUCGAAGACGAUCAGAUACCGUCGUAGUCUUAACCAUAAACUAUGCCGACCAGGGAUUGGGAGACGUUUUUCAUGACUCCCCCAGCACCUUACGAGAAAUCACAAGUCUUUGGGUUCUGGGGGGAGUAUGGUCGCAAGGCUGAAACUUAAAGGAAUUGACGGAAGGGCACCACCAGGAGUGGAGCCUGCGGCUUAAUUUGACUCAACACGGGAAAACUUACCAGGUCCAGACACAGUUAGGAUUGACAGAUUGAGAGCUCUUUCUUGAUUCUGUGGGUGGUGGUGCAUGGCCGUUCUUAGUUGGUGGAGUGAUUUGUCUGGUUAAUUCCGAUAACGAACGAGACCUCAGCCUGCUAAUUAGUUAUGCUAGUCUUUACGCUUGGGAGACACAGAGUACGCCAGCAAUGGAACGCUUUGUGCAUCCUGUUCUGACUUGUAGUUAACUUCUUAGAGGGACACUUGGUGUCUAACCAAGGGAAGUUUGAGGCAAUAACAGGUCUGUGAUGCCCUUUAGAUGUUCUGGGCUGCACGCGCGCUACACUGAUGCAAUCAACAAGUCUUUUUCCUUGGCCGAAAGGUCUGGGUAAACUUUUGAAAUUGCAUCGUGCUGGGGAUCGAUAAUUGUAAUUAUUUAUCGUCAACGAGGAACUCCUAGUAAGCGCAAGUCAUCAGCUUGCGUUGAUUACGUCCCUGCCCUUUGUACACACCGCCCGUCGCUCCUACCGAUGAAUGGUCCGGUGAGCAUUUAGGAUUGGAGGCAUAUACCUUGCUGACUUCGGUUGGUGGGUUUGUUUCCGAGAAUUUGUGCAAACCUUGUCAUUUAGAGGAAGGAGAAGUCGUAACAAGGUAUCCGUAGGUGAACCUGCAGAAGGAUCAA